rnacentral:rRNA from 1 species
GCAGUCGACGCGUUGGCCCGACUGAUUGAUGAUGCUUGCAUCUGAUUGACGACCGUUUACAACGAGUGGCGGACGGGUGAGUAACACGUAGGCAACCUGCCCAGAAGCGGGGGACAACAUUUGGAAACAAGUGCUAAUACCGCAUAACAACGAAAACCACAUGGUUUUCGUUUAAAAGAUGGUUUCGGCUAUCACUUCUGGAUGGGCCUGCGGCGCAUUAGCUUGUUGGUGAGGUAACGGCUCACCAAGGCUGUGAUGCGUAGCCGAGUUGAGAGACUGAUCGGCCACAAUGGAACUGAGACACGGUCCAUACUCCUACGGGAGGCAGCAGUAGGGAAUCUUCCACAAUGGGCGCAAGCCUGAUGGAGCAACACCGCGUGAGUGAAGAAGGGUUUCGACUCGUAAAACUCUGUUGUUGAAGAAGAACGUGCGUGAGAGUAACUGUUCACGCAGUGACGGUAUUCAACCAGAAAGUCACGGCUAACUACGUGCCAGCAGCCGCGGUAAUACGUAGGUGGCAAGCGUUAUCCGGAUUUAUUGGGCGUAAAGCGAGCGCAGGCGGUUUUCUAAGUCUGAUGUGAAAGCCUUCGGCUUAACCGGAGAAGUGCAUCGGAAACCGGAUAACUUGAGUGCAAGAGAGGACAGUGGAACUCCAUGUGUAGCGGUGGAAUGCGUAGAUAUAUGGAAGAACACCAGUGGCGAAGGCGGCUGUCUAGCUUGCAACUGACGCUGAGGCUCGAAAGCAUGGGUAGCGAACAGGAUUAGAUACCCUGGUAGUCCAUGCCGUAAACGAUGAGUGCUAGGUGU